rnacentral:tRNA from 1 species
GGGGGAUUUCCCGAGCGGCCAAAGGGGGCAGACUGUAAAUCUGUUGUCGACGACUUCGCUGGUCCGAAUCCAGCAUCCCCCACCA